UAUUGAAAAGAUGGUCAGCGAGAAUGGGCUAUCUAAUUAAGGAAUUAGACACCAGGGCAUAAUCCAACACACACAAUCAACCAGAACCCAAUACAAACCCGAUACACACACCCACAUUAUCAACCAGCAUUUGAGCUGUCCUCAAAGGUAGGCUGCUUAACGCAUUAGUGGAUGAACUGCAUUCCAAUGUCCACACAAAGACAAUGCAAUAUAAAACUACAAGGAAGAACACAACCAUCUGAAUCACUUCCACGUAGCUGGGCACAUUUGGUUGGUUUUAUUGGAAGUUCAUUUUUUUCCGUCCAGGUGUCACUUCAACAAACACACAAUCAACCAGCUCAGCUGUCAUCAAUCACAUGAUGGCUGUGUGCAGACUUUUUUUUGGUUUAAAGAAAUAUCGAUUGUGAGGGACGUUACCUAAUACUUUUGUGAAGAACACAACAUAUAACACGUUGAGGAGAAGAUAAAGAAAUUAACUAGAGAGAGGGUGAAACGCAGGGCUUGUUGAAGGUGACCCACAUACAUACAUAUACGAAGCGGCUGCUGCUGUGAGCGAAAGAUAUCGAACAGCUAAUUGCUAAAAUAAGCGUAUGACCUAGAAAAUUGGCCUUAGUCGGACAUAAGGAAGAGAGUGUAGUAGCCGUAGAAGAGGAUGACGAUGCUUGAGAAGAGGCCAGCCGCACUUGGGACCACGGAGCACAUCGAGAUGGAGAUCUUCGCCUCGGAAGAGUCUCGCGCCGUGGUCUCCGUACAUGAUACCGAGGAGGGCUACUUCGGCUACUAUAGGCACCUAGAGCAUCCUCUGGUGUCCGUUUCUGAAGAGGAGUACCUAGAGGCCCAGGUCCAGAGCCCAGCUGAACAGCAAUUCAAGCUGAAGAGAGUGCUUUCUGUCGGGACAGAGGACUUGGAUGACUGCCCCCUGAUUCCAGACUUAAAGGAGGACAUGGAGAUCGAAAUGGAGGAAUUCCCUCCCUUCAACACGCCCGAGAGUGAGCAAGUUUUAAAAACAUCAGCCCUCCCUUCCUUCAAAACACUACUGUGACUUGAAUAUGCAUCAUCUUCCAUUAAGAACGGUGCAAAAUUAAAAGACGGAUGGAUUCAACCUCAUAAAGCCUAUGAAGUUGAGCUUAUGGUCCCCUUUCACCACAAUUCCCUGUGUAUUUAUAGGAUACACGAUUUGUAUAGGGACUAAUGAUGAUGUGAAGAAACGGACUGAAAUAUUAAAAUAAGACUUAACUGAACUGUUGAACAAAAUCAGCUCUUUGAACGUGACAUGUUUGUCAGUUGGAAGAGGAGUUGAGGCAUUGAGAUUGUUUGCACUGAAUAUAGGUGCAUUGUAAGCUGCAUGAAGCGUCCAGUCAGUGCACUUUAUUGACAUUUUAAACUUUUUCUGGGACCGCAGACCUUUCAAUUGAGACUGACUUAACCUAGUCAGGAGUAAAACAGUUUAUUUCUAACUUAAUCUACUUUAUAAGACAGUCAUCUGGUCCUUCUGCUAAGGGCAAGAAACAAGAGGAAUCACAACGAUAAGAACUCAUCCAGGGCCCAUCGUGUCUGAAGCUCACUCAAUUCCUGAAAAAUAGUUCCAACCCUUUUAAAUGUAUCCAUUCCUCGUCAGGUACAGCCUGUUCCGGAAAAACAACAACGUAAUUUUUACACACUUAAUGUAGCUUUAUUAAACGUCUGGUCUCUGGCAGGAACAACCUUUUUAAUCAAUAAUUUGUUAGAAAUUGUAUCGUUUUUAACUGAAGCUGUUCUUACGACCCGUGCCCACUACCUCCGUCCGUUGCGUGAUCCCCAUUGACUUUAAUGGGGACGGACGCGCAAUGCAUUGUGGAUCCGUCUGUUCCGUUGGAGCCUUCGGCGCCGUCAGAAAGUUGAAAUAUGUUCAACUUUUUCAGCAGCGACGGAUCCGUCAUCCAAUCAGAUCGCGUAUGCAAAUUUAAGCACUGUGACGCGACUCGGGCUCUGACGAUGCUGGAAAGCAGGAAAGCGGGUCAUCUUGCAUCGCAAUAAGCAGGAAGUAGCGGGAAGAACCCGGCGAAGCAAUUUGAUUGGCUGACGGAUGCCUCUGCAAAGACUACUCCCCCAUCAGUCAGCCACGCCUUCCCACGUCCGUUGACUGAAGGAGGUAGUGGGCACGAGGCGCUAUAGUCAACCAGCCCCAACUUUAG
ensembl:lncRNA